rnacentral:rRNA from 1 species
UAGCCGUAAACGAUACUCGCUAGGUGUCGGCCACGGUGCGACCGUUGUCGGUGCCGUAGGGAAGCCGUGAAGCGAGCCACCUGGGAAGUACGGCCGCAAGGCUGAAACUUAAAGGAAUUGGCGGGGGAGCACCACAACGGGCGGAGCUUGCGGUUUAAUUGGAUUCAACGCCGGAAAUCUUACCGGGACCGACAGCAACAUGAAGGCCAGGCUGAAGACUUUGCCGGAUUAGCUGAGAGGUGGUGCAUGGCGUAGUCGUGU